rnacentral:lncRNA from 1 species
UUUGAUCCCUUUAAAAUCUCUCGCCUUGAUUCUUUCCAUUUUAAAAUUGCCUUAAUUUUCAUUUGAGUAUCUUCAAUUUCCUUAUCAAAACCAACUUCAUUCUCAUCACCAUUAUCUUCAAAGAUUUGGAAGCGUGAUUUUCUCACUCCCUCAACUAACAGUUGAUCUUGUUUUCCUUUCAUAGUAGUCUUCCCCGAAAUAUUUGGUCUUCGUCUUUGGGCUAGAGCUUGCUUCCAAGGUCCGUAUAGAGAAACCAGAUCCUUCAUAGCACCCGCAAUUGUAAUCAUCACAAUAUCAAUAGUCAGCACCAUCGUUGGCUUUGUCAAGUCCACUUUUUUCCCAUUCCCUUGUUGUUCCAGAUAACUCUACUUAGUGUGCCCAUAGCAGCCACACUCGUAGUAGAUGACAGGUAAGCCCUUGUACUCCACAUAUUGAACAUGACCAUCAAUACCAUCAACUGUGACACCCCAAACUCAGUUGGGACGGUCCGACCCGAAUUUCGAAUGUCACAUUAGCCACCAAAGUGACUCUUCGUUAAAACACCACAAAACACACCAUUCAACCAAUCACACCACACAAUUGCAACAUGAUCCAUAUUAAAAAGAUAUCUUAUUUGCAUGCUUUUCUAUUCAAAUCAUAAAAAUAGCUCAAGAAAAAUCAAUUCCUUUGACACCUGCAAACCCACCUCGCGGCGAACUUCCAACUAGAAACCCUAGCAGCACACGGAUGACUAGCUAACACCCAGCUCGCAACCUACCCUGUGAACAUCGGUUCACAACUUACCUUGCGAACUCGUUAUUGGGCGAUUUAACACAUUUUUACUGGUAGCGUGUCUGUAUUUUUACUAGCAAAAUUUUUUGCAUAUUGUUAUUGGUGGUUUUAACCACAACGGGCUUAAGCCUAUACUAUUUUGGAGUUCAGAUGAUGAGUUCUAGGGAACCCAUGGUGUGUAGCGGAUGAAUGAGUAGGAUUAUUGCAUUGAAACAUUGAGCAUGCCAUGUUUGUAUGUUGUACUGACUUGCCAAAUUGGUUGAAUUUUAUAAAUUGAUGAAUGAUUGUUUGAUUGAUUAAAUGCUUAUUUUGUAUUGACUCACACUGGGUUUUUAAGCUCACCCCCUACUUUACUCUUUACAGACAAUUCUCAGGACUAGGCUUGGAUUCGAUAUUUAGAAGUUUCUUUAUGGAAUUUUUGGCACAUAAAUUUUUAUUAAAAUUUCUUUUCUUAUUAUUUCGAUAUUAUUCUUAUUUUUAUUUGAGACUGUAAGGUUUAUUUAAAUUUGGACUAUGGUAUGAGACAUUUUUUAACUAGAAUUUUUGCAUGCAUGAAUUUUUUACUGCACAAACGGUAAAUCUAAGCUUUUAACAAAGGAUUUUUCAAUGCAAUCAACUAAGUUUUUUUUUUAAAUGGCACGAUCAAUAUAUAAAUUGAACUUAAUAAUAGAUGGCUUAAUUAAUUGGAGUUUCAACAAUGUUUUUUUUUUCAACCACACUAAGUUUUGAAAAUUUAACGAAAAAGUGAUUUUAGAUUUGGACAUUUUUACUGGCUAAUAUAACAUUCGAAAUUCGGUCAUAACGUUUAGACCGUCUUUUAUUUGUAAUUUCAACCAUAUUUCUUCAAAAUUAAAUGAUAAGUUAAAACAAAUCAUCAAAAUUAGUUUAUAGGUCUAGUUGAUGUCAUUUAAGCUUAGAUGGAGGAAUUCUUAAUUCUCAUUGGUUGGAUGAGAUCAAACAAAUUCGAAGUAGUUGAUAAUCAAAUUAUAAUUUUUUUAAUUGACUACUGAUAUAGUUUACAAUAUGCGUAAAUGUCGAAUAUGAAAAAUCCGAACACCAGAUCUUAUUACUAUUGCAUUACAUGAGGGGGUAGCCACUUCCUUUUAUUAUUAACUUCAGUUUCAAGUUUUUUAAACUUUAAUGCUUUAAUAAGACACCAAUGAAAUCCUCUAAUCUUGAUACUAUAUAAAGCUUAGUACCAAACUCUUGAAUUUCAGACACUGAUUUAUUUCCAUACCAUCGCUCAAGAUUAACUGUUUCUAAAACAGUGCCAUUUCCAUUGAUCCUUACUCCAGUUGGCAACAAACCCGAAUCCAUUCGUGGAUCUACCCUUGAGGCCGCUAUCCAGAACUUGUUUAAUCGCGUCCUCUUAAUGUUAUCCGGGGUUGGCUGUAUGGUUGCGAUGACGG